rnacentral:rRNA from 1 species
AACGCGAAGAACCUUACCUACCCUUGACAUCCUGCGAAAUUCACAGAGAUGUGGAAGUGCCGAAAGGAACGCAGAGACAGGUGCUGCAUGGCUGUCGUCAGCUCGUGUUGUGAGAUGUUGGGUUAAGUCCCGUAACGAGCGCAACCCUUAUCCUUAGUUGCCAACAUGUAAAGGUGGGGACUCUAAGGAGACUGCUGGUGAUGAACCGGAGGAAGGCGGGGACGACGUCAAGUCAUCAUGGCCUUUAUGGGUAGGGCUACACACGUGCUACAAUGGGGCGUACAGAGGGUAGCGAAGCUGCAAAGCGGAGCCAAUCUCGAAAAGCGUCUCGUAGUCCGGAUCGGAGUCUGCAACUCGACUCCGUGAAGUCGGAAUCGCUAGUAAUCGCGAAUCAGAAUGUCGCGGUGAAUACGUUCCCGGGCCUUGUA